GGUAUUUGUUAUUAGCUGGUCAUAAUGGCCAUGUUAAUUAACAGAUCCUCAUUUGUUGAAUGAAUUAAUAAUGAUCUUUAAUGUAUUGUUAUUAAUUAUCAACACGUUUACUUUGAGAAAAUUAGAGUGCUAAAAGCAGGCUCACGCCUAUAUAGAUUGCAUGGAAUAAUGAAAUAAGAUCUCGAUUUUAUUUCGUUGGUUUUAGAAAUUGAGAUA
rnacentral:rRNA from 1 species